UACGUAGGGGGCAAGCGUUGUCCGGAUUCAUUGGGCGUAAAGAGCGUGUAGGCGGCCAGGUAGGUCGGUUGUGAAAAACUGGAGGCUCAACCUUCAGAGGUCGACCGAAACCAUCUGGCUAGAGUCCGGGAGAGGAGAGUGGAAUUCCUGGUGUAGCGGUGAAAUGCGCAGAUAUCAGGAAGAACACCCGUGGCGAAAGCGGCUCUCUGGAACGGUACUGACGCUGAGACGCGAAAGCGUGGGGAGCGAACAGG
rnacentral:rRNA from 1 species